ACCCCGCGUCGUCUCCGACCGCCGCCGCGGCAACCCUAUACCCCGGCCAUCAUGGCGGACCCGCCGUCCGUUGCCGCCAUCGCCUCGCCGCAGCCCGACCAGCUUGGCGCCUCCGCCGCCGCCCCACAGAGCUCCAACCCUAACCCCCUCCUGUCCCCCCAAAUCCCCCCCUCCCCCACCGUCUCCGACCUCUCCGCCAUUUCCUCCCCGCAGCUCGACCCGGCCGCGGCGGCUGCAGGCGGAGGACCAGCGGACUUCCCGCCUCGUCCGCAGCAGCUGCAGGCGCCUUCGCCCACGCAGGCAGUGGCCGGCGCUGGCGCCGGAGGCUAUGGCCAGAUCCACCGCUCGGGCUCGGCCUCCCGCCUGGCCGCUGCGAGCCAGCUUCCGCAAUACUCCGCUGCAGCGGCCAGGAUGUACGGCGGACAGAUGAGCUUCACCGGCGGCGGAGGACAGCUCGGGCAACAGCAGCAGCUGGCGGCGCGCGCGGCAAUGCUCGGUCAGGGGCAGCUGGGGAUGAUGCAAGGGCAGGGCAACGCGGUCUCUGCUGCACACUACGGGCUCCAGUCACAGAUGAUGUCACAGCCAAGGCAAAAAGGAAUAGUACAAGGUGCACAAUUUAAUACUGCAAAUACAGCUCAAGCGUUGCAAGGGAUGCAAUCCAUGGGAGUCAUGGGUACUUUGGGGAUGAACCAGAUGAGACCAAAUGGAACCAUUCCAUAUAGUGCCCAACAACGUUUUGCCCACGCACAAAUGAGGCCACAACAAGUGUUGCAACAAGGUGCACUAUCUCCACAGAAGGUAGCUGGUCAAGGCUUGUCGAGAACAGCAUCAAUUGCAGCAUUAAAUUCACAACUACCUGGAGCAUCACAAAAUGGACAGAUGAUGCAGAUGUCACCUCAGCAACAACAGCAAUGGUUAAAGCAAAUACAAUCGUCGAUGGCCUCACCUGUUUCUUCACAUCAACUUCAGCAGCAACAAAGGAUGAUUUUGAUGCAACAACUUCAGAAAUCCGGACUGAGUCCACACCAGAUUGCACAAGCCCAACAACAGCAUCCACAUCUCAAUGCCCAACAGUUGAUGCAUCAGCAGCAGAUUUUGCAGCAACUUCAACAGCAGCAACAAUCUCCUAGGAUGCCAGCAUCUGGUUCCCAGAAGUCUGCAAACUUGACAGGAUCACAGCCAGGCACGCCUUUGUCAGGUGGGACUAUGGCUGGUGGAAGUGGAAGUCAAGGAGCAGAAGGAACUAGUCAACUUCUGGGGAAGAGAAAAAUACAAGAUUUGGUUGCGCAGGUGGAUCCCCUCGGCAAACUUGAUCCAGAAGUGGAGGAUUUGGUUUUAGAGAUAGCGGACGACUUCAUUGAGUCGGUGACUGCAUUUGCAUGCAGCCUGGCAAAGCACCGGAAGUCAUCAGUUCUGGAAGCCAAAGAUGUCUUGCUACACCUACAGAAAAAUUGGCAUCUGACUGUUCCUGGUUUCUCAAAGGAGGACAAGAAUCCACAGAGAAAUUAUGUAAAGGCAGCGAUGGAUCCCCAACAGCUGGAAUCUGAAGCUGCUGCAGUUAGAAGCGCAAGUAAUAAACAGGUCACUAAUAAUUCUAUCGCCAACAAUCAGACAAGAGGUCCUGUGGCGGAGCCUUCACCAACACCUACAGUGGGCUCUCUGUCAAAAAUUCCUCGUUUCUGAGCUCUAUGUUGUACCCUUCGGUGGAAGCUGAUCAGUUGAAGGUUUCACUAGAGGUUGUAAGAGAUUCACCAGUGGUCUCUAACCGGAGGAUGGAAGCACAAUAAAUCUACGAGCAUUUGUGGACAAACAAACGACGGCUGCUUACUUGUGUACCCUCCAAUCUGGAUGCUUGUCUCGAAGGGAAAGGCAGUCACCGGCUUACAGGUCUUUUUGCAACAGGCUAUUGCACUAGUCAUCUGUAACCUUUUAUCCAUGAACCUUUGUAGCUUCCCCUGUUCGGUGUAUAGUGUUUUGUAUGCGGGGCAGCAAUAUUCGGUUCAAUUUUUUGUUGUUGUGGAUGA